rnacentral:rRNA from 1 species
UACAGAGGAGCCAAGCGUUGUCCGGAUUGACUGGGCGUAAAGCGCACGCAGGCGGUCGCGCGCGUGGGGUGUGAAAUCUGGCCGCUUAACGGCCAGGCGCCAUCCCAUACGGCACGACUGGAGUGAUGCAGAGGUCGGUGGAAUUUCCGGUGUAGCGGUGAAAUGCGUAGAUAUCGGAAGGAACAUCAGUGGCGAAAGCGGCUUCCUGGACCAGCACCGACGUUCAGGCACGAAAGCGUGGGGAGCAAACAGG